rnacentral:rRNA from 1 species
UAAGGAAUAUUGGUCAAUGGACGAAAGUCUGAACCAGCCAUGCCGCGUGAAGGAUGAAGGCCCUCUGGGUUGUAAACUUCUUUUAUCUGGGACGAAAAAAGCUCAUUCUUGAGCACUUGACGGUACCAGAGGAAUAAGCACCGGCUAACUCCGUG